CUCACCCAAGAGGAUUCUCCUUAUUUCAAUAUGAAAUGAUGAUCUCUAGCGCCCCCUGCAGGCUGCAGAGUCCAUCACAGCCACGAUAUGAAAGAGUCCCAUAUAAAGCAGAGACGAGAGGACGAAGAAGAGACAGAACUGAUGUUUCUGGGCCGUUCUUCAGAUGACCUUGUCAACGGAGGACGAAAUAAAGCUGUGGCUGAAACCUCACGCAGUCACCUGGAGGCUGGACCGAACAGCUUUGCAUAGAACAUCCUACAAUUUUAUUUUUACAGGGUGGACUUCAGAUGCCAGCAUGAGACAAGACCUUGGGGAACUCAAACUGUCCUGCAAAGAUGACUGUGACUGUUGUCCUGUCUUACACAGUAAAGAACAAAGCAUUUUUGUCUCAAAUGUCUCCUCGGAAGCAUGGACCCUCACAUGCCAACCUUUCCUACAACAGUAGCCAUCUGCAGUGACCACAACCGCAACAUCUUUGUGGCUGAUGCACUGAGGCACCGCGACGUGGCGACAACAAAAGCAAAAACUGACCUGAAGCUUUUUGAAGCAGGACACCCGCCAAGUUCAACACGGACCGGCAUCAUUGUCGAGUAUUCCUGCUGUUGACCCACAGUUGUGUUGAUGCCCUGACGCUUGGAAUAAUCAUCAUCCAGUCUGAGGAAGAGCAGGUCAUAUUUGAAGGCCUAGAACUUUUGAAGAGCCUCCUUGAUGAAGAGUCCUUUUCAGGCAGAGGAAGGUCAUGGCCCACGGUAUUCCUCACAGAUGACAGCAGGGCAGAGAGCAGUACUACGCAGCAGCCUUCCCACAAGCCAAACUUAUCCUCUGUUCACCUGCUGUGAGCUGUGUGGACAUGGCUGUGGUGCAAGGACAGUGACAUUAGCAUGUCAAGUUCAUUGCAGAGCCGUUACCAUCAGGCUUUAGAGAACUCUGCUUUGAACAGGGGUCCGAACUUCAAUGCCUGCGUGGAGAAGCUCUACAGCCGGAAGGACCGUUGGACUCUCUGCUACAGGGACUGUAAGACGAAACACCAACAACUACAAUGAGACUGCAAUGAGGAUACUGAAAGACAAAAUCCUACAUUGCAGAAAAGGCAUACGCAGUUAUCUGACUUUCUGACCAUCCUCCUCAGUGCUUAUUAUGAGGCCAGAAUAAAAGAUGCUGCCAUAGUCCAUUGGAAAGGCUUGCAGAAGUCAAGGUUCCUGGUAAAGGACAAUAGUGUGAAACCUAAGGACAUCCGCAAGGUCAAACUUUAUUCUGUUCUAAUACUUCUUUUUAUUUCUUUACAAAGUGGAUAGUAAAUGUGAAUAAAUUCCCCUGGCAAGG